GAUGAAGAACGUAGCGAAAUGCGAUAAGUAAUGUGAAUUGCAGAAUUCAGUGAAUCAUCGAAUCUUUGAACGCACAUUGCGCCCGCCAGUAUUCUGGCGGGCAUGCCUGUCUGAGCGUCAUUUCAACCCUCAUGCCCCUAGGGCGUGGUGUUGGGGAUCGGCCAACGCCCGCGAGGGACGGCCGGCCCCUAAAUCUAGUGGCGGACCCGUCGUGGCCUCCUCUGCGAAGUAGUGAUAUUCCGCAUCGGAGAGCGAUGAGCCCCUGCCGUUAAACCCCCAACUUUCCAAGGUUGACCUCAGAUCAGGUAGGAAUACCCGCUGAACUUAAGCAUAUCAAUAAGCGGAGGA
rnacentral:misc_RNA from 1 species